GGGGACCUUCGGGGCCCUAUACCCAUGGCGGAUACGUCCGCCCAACAUAGCGGGUCGUCAAAGACCUGCACUUGCUAACGGAAGACAGAAA
ncrna:unclassified sequences L2-Alphaproteobacteria ribosomal protein leader